UACGUAGGUGGCAAGCGUUGUCCGGAAUUAUUGGGCGUAAAGCGCGCGCAGGCGGUCCUUUAAGUCUGAUGUGAAAGCCCACGGCUCAACCGUGGAGGGUCAUUGGAAACUGGGGGACUUGAGUGCAGGAGAGAAGAGUGGAAUUCCACGUGUAGCGGUGAAAUGCGUAGAGAUCAGGCAGAACACCUGGGGCGAAGGCGGCCAGCUGGGCCGUCCCUGACGCUGAGGCGCGAAGGCGUGGGGAGCGAACGGG
rnacentral:rRNA from 1 species